rnacentral:rRNA from 1 species
GUGGGGUAACGGCCCACCAAGGCGACGACGGGUAGCCGGCCUGAGAGGGCGACCGGCCACACUGGGACUGAGACACGGCCCAGACUCCUACGGGAGGCAGCAGUGGGGAAUAUUGCACAAUGGGCGCAAGCCUGAUGCAGCGACGCCGCGUGAGGGAUGAAGGCCUUCGGGUUGUAAACCUCUUUCAGCAGGGAAGAAGCGAAAGUGACGGUACCUGCAGAAGAAGCACCGGCUAACUACGUGCCAGCAGCCGCGGUAAUACGUAGGGUGCAAGCGUUGUCCGGAAUUAUUGGGCGUAAAGAGCUCGUAGGCGGUCUGUCGCGUCUGCUGUGAAAACCUAGGGCUUAACCCUGGGCCUGCAGUGGGUACGGGCAGACUAGAGUGCGGUAGGGGAGACUGGAAUUCCUGGUGUAGCGGUGAAAUGCGCAGAUAUCAGGAGGAACACCGGUGGCGAAGGCGGGUCUCUGGGCCGUAACUGACGCUGAGGAGCGAAAGCAUGGGUAGCGAACAGGAUUAGAUACCCUGGUAGUCCACGCCGUAAACGUUGGGCGCUAGGUGUGGGGCUCAUUCCACGAGUUCUGUGCCGCAGCAAACGCAUUAAGCGCCCCGCCUGGGGAGUACGGCCGCAAGGCUAAAACUCAAAGGAAUUGACGGGGCCCCGCACAAGCGGCGGAGCAUGCGGAUUAAUUCGAUGCAACGCGAAGAACCUUACCAAGGCUUGACAUGCAGGGAAAACUCACAGAGAUGUGAGGUCCGCAAGGGUCCUGCGCAGGUGGUGCAUGGUUGUCGUCAGCUCGUGUCGUGAGAUGUUGGGUUAAGUCCCGCAACGAGCGCAACCCUCGUCUUAUGUUGCCAGCGGGUCAUGCCGGGGACUCAUAA